rnacentral:rRNA from 1 species
UACGUAGGCAGCAAGCGUUGUUCGGAAUUACUGGGCGUAAAGAGUGUGUAGGCGGUGCUCCAAGUCUGGUGUGAAAUCUCCCGGCUUAACUGGGAGGGUGCGCCGAAUACUGAAUGACUAGAGUGCGGGAGAGGAAAGUGGAAUUCCUGGUGUAGCGGUGAAAUGCGUAGAUAUCAGGAGGAACACCGGUGGUGUAGACGGCUUUCUGGACCGUAACUGACGCUGAGACACGAAAGCGUGGGUAGCAAACAGG